UUAUAAAAGAGCCGAUUCGAUUACUCUGUAGAAGCUACGUAGUUAUGUGGUGCAGCCCAAAUUAAAUACUAAUUGAAUCCUAAUGACAAUAAUAGGGGAGCGGGGGGAAUAGGAGCCAGCGGGUAAUGGGAGCCACCUCGUUAUUUACGCCAUGAUGUGCGUAAUGUAAUUUUGGAACGCAGCUAACAUUUACCCUUGAUGCUUUCAAACUACUUUGAACGGUUACAUCUAAAUCAGUUCACUUUCGGCAGUCUUCCGACACGUUUGUCGGUAUUCGCAAAUUAUACUCUAAAGACACGCAAUACGAAAAUUGAAGAUGAGACAGGUCUGCUCUACAAAAUGCUUCCAGACACGACACUGAAAUUUAAAGGCGAAAAGUGCAAAGAAGGGAAAAUGUGCAAAGUAAGAAUUACUCUUUUUGUUGCUGCCAAUAUGUCUGGGUGAGAAAAACGUAAGUUGAUUGUUAUUGGAAAAUCAAAAAACACUCGUUGUUUUAAAAAUGUUAAGACAUUACCUGUUUCCUACAUGUCUAACAAAAAAGCCUGGAUGACUUUGGACUUGUUUAUUAAGAUGGACAAAGAAGAAUUUAAUCCACCAUCUAUUGAAGAAGCUUUACGAGCAGUGAAGACCCUAAACAGUUUUGUACCAUACAAUAAUGCGAGUGACGAAGAACUUUUAGACACAAAUUAUUGAGAAAAAAAUUGAAUCAAUUUACUUUAACUGGCGUUGCAAAAAACAAACAAAGAUAACAGAUUUUUUACUAAAUUAACUAUAUAAUUUUUUUUAUAUGUACAUACAUACAAAUGUAUUUUAUGUACUAUGUAGGUUUACCUUUCGUUACCUACUGUAACAGUGUAAAUUUAGUUUUUUUUUAAA